UACAGAGGAGCCAAGCGUUGUCCGGAUUGACUGGGCGUAAAGCGCACGCAGGCGGUUUGGCGCGUGGGGUGUGAAAUCUGGCCGCUUAACGGCCAGGCGCCAUCCCAUACGGCUAGACUGGAGUGAUGCAGAGGCCGGUGGAAUUGCCGGUGUAGUGGUGAAAUGCGUAGAGAUCGGCAGGAACACCCAGGGGGAAACCAGCCGACUGGGCAUCGACUGACGCUGAGGUGCGAGAGCGUGGGGAGCGAACCGG
rnacentral:rRNA from 1 species